CCAAUAGCGUAUAUUAAAGUUGUUGCAGUUAAAAAGCUCGUAGUUGAAUUUCGGGAUUGACACAUCGGUCGUGCCCUAAGGGGUAUGAACUGGUGUAGUCAAUUUCUCACCUUCUGGAGAACCGCGCUGUCCUUAAUUGGGUGACGCGGGAAACCAGGACCUUUACUUUGAAAAAAUUAGAGUGUUUAAAGCAGGCAUUUUGCUUGAAUACAUUAGCAUGGAAUAAUAAAAUAGGACGGCAUGAUUCUAUUUUGUUGGUUUCUAGGAUCACCGUAAUGAUUAAUAGGGAUAGUUGGGGGCAUUAGUAUUCAAUUGUCAGAAGUGAAAUUCUUGGAUUUAUUGAAGACUAACUACUGCGAAAGCAUUUGCCAAGGAUGUUUUCAUUAAUCAAGAACGAAAGUUAGGGGAUCGAAGACGAUCAGAUACCGUCGUAGUCUUAACCAUAAACUAUGCCGACUAGGAAUCAGACGAUGUUAAUUUUUUAAUGACUCGUUUGGCACCUUACG
rnacentral:rRNA from 1 species